rnacentral:rRNA from 1 species
UACGGAGGGGGCUAGCGUUGUUCGGAAUUACUGGGCGUAAAGCGCACGUAGGCGGCUUUGUAAGUUAGAGGUGAAAGCCCGGGGCUCAACUCCGGAAUUGCCUUUAAGACUGCAUCGCUAGAAUUGUGGAGAGGUAAGUGGAAUUCCGAGUGUAGAGGUGAAAUGCGCAGAUAUCAGGAGGAACACCGGUGGCGAAGGCGCCACUCUGGGCCGAAACUGACGCUGAGGAGCGAAAGCGUGGGUAGCAAACAGG